CCCUGGCUGAGAAUCCUUUCCAUGGCUAGAGGCGCCUUUUUAAUUUUUACUCACCCAGCGGUGGUCCGGGUCUUCGGCGGUGGGCCCUUCACUUGCUCCGGGUCUUCGACAGCACUUUGGCAGCGGGUCCUUCAGUGCUGCUGAAGACAUGGAGCAAGUGAAGGACCCGCUGCUGCCGAACACUCGGAGCGCCCCCGGUGAGUGGAAGCGCCGCAGUGGGUGACACCCUUUUUUAUGUCUGCUCCCCUGCUUUGCCCCAGGCCCCCUGAAUCCUCUGGGCGGCCCUGGCAGUUGGUGUCAUUUUGGGGGGGUUAAACUAAUGUUUACAACAAACCAAACUGAAGUGAGUGUAAUGUAGGUGAAAGGUGCUGGCCUGGAGCCCUAGAUACUGAGUUCUCUGUGCAGGGGCAGAGUAGGACAAGCAGCCUCCUUGUGGUCCUCCUCCAGGAGUCAAAGGGGAGUGUGCUCUCCAGUCAGCCCAUUGCACACGAGAGCUGUAGCACAUGGAGGAUGUUCCUCCCAGACUACCAAGUGCAUGGCUGUUCCCAGUGGGCCCUUCUCGCUGCUGGCAUCGUGACUGGACCCUGGUCUGCUGUGUCCCUCUUCCUAAGCAAAGUAACAUGACAAACCAAAAAACUCUGAUUUGGACUCAAGUCCUGUUUCUCAUUUCCCCCAAGACCCAGAGGGGAGGGGCUCUGCCUGGGCCCAUAAAGCAUAUAUCAGUCCCAGCACUGUAAUGAGAGUUCUGUUUGACCUGGGUGAAGCCUAAAAAGUUAAAUAAUUAGACUGUUCAUAAGUGCUUGGCUUCCCCAGCCAAGCCUUUGGUGGGUCAUGGAGGCACAUCUCAGAGCCGAGCCCCCAGCCAUGCUACAGAACCACAUCAUCUCAGAGCCGAGCCCCCAGCCAUGUCCUCUCAGCCAAGCCCCUAGCCAUGCUAUGGAACAACGUCGUCUCAGAGCCGAGCCCCAAACGUGUAUGGAACUGCGUCAUCUCAGAGCUGAGCUCCCAGCCAUGUCGUCUCAAGAGCCGAGCCCUCAGCCAUGCUAUGGAACCACGUCAUCUGAGAGUUGAACCCCAGCCAUGUCGCCUCUGAGCUGAGCCCCCGACAUGCUAUGGAACCACAUCAUCUCAGAGCUGAACACUUGACGUGCUACGGAAUCACAUCAUCUCAGAGCCGAGCCCCUGACGUGCUACAGAACGACGUCAUCUGAGAGUUGAGCCCCAGCCAUGUCGUCUCAGAGCUGAGCCCGUGGGAAUGCCACUGGAGCCACAUCAUCUCAGAGCCUCACCUCGCCUGUGCUACCAGAGCCAUGUCAUCUUGGGGCUCAUAAGCACUAAAAUUUAAUGAAAAGAAGAAAAGAACCCCCGAAGCGAUAAGCGUCAGGACUGUCGGAAGUAGAAAAAGAGACCAGCACAUGGCAAUGAGGACAAACAGAUCAAAGAGGAAGAAAGACAGAAGGAAACAACGGGGUCAGCACCCAGACUUCUGCACCGGGCAGCACAGCAUGGGGAGGAGGUGACCAGCCCUCAGUGGUGAAAGAACAGGUUAAGACUAUUUAGAAAAGCUGGACAUGCACAAGUCCGUGGGGCCGGAUGCGCGGCAUCCGAGAGUGCUGAGGGAGUUGGCUGGUGUGAUUGCAGAGCCAUUGGCCAUUAUCUUUGAAAAUUCAUGGUGAU